ACAUCAUUAUUCUUAUGCCUUUUCAUUUUUUAUCUUUCAUCUUAAAAUUGGUUAACAAUUAAAUUACCGAGUUAAAUAAAACUUUAUCUAGAGGUAGUGAUAAUAUUAAUCUUAUUGGAAGAGAUUCAUAUUUUGCACGUUAUAGUAACUUGUUAAUUUUUUUAUAUGAUAUAAUAAAUAAGUUAAGACGGUAACUAUAAAUAUAUCACAUAAAUUAUAACUUAUGACGAUACAAAAUAACUUAGCAUGAUAUAAUUAUAAACUUAUUGAUAUAAAUAUUUUGUUAUCAUGUUAACCUAAUAAGUAUUACCGAGAUAUUUGUUAUCAUGUUAUUCUGAUAAUACGUUAUCUGCUAACUAUUCUGAUUCAUGUAUUUUUUACAUGAUUAUUAAGUCGCAAGUCAACUUUUUUGCUUUAUAUGCUAAAUAUUUUGUUACUUUUUAAUAAUAAUGUUAUCGUCUUCGCAUAUAUAUCCGUAUAAUAACCAUAUUGUAACUAUGACAAUUUUGUAAUUAAUCCAAAUAUGAAAGAUACUUUUGGUUUAUAUUUUUUUUCUCUUUCAU
rnacentral:sRNA from 1 species